rnacentral:lncRNA from 1 species
UUGAUCCUUAUCCUCUCUAAACCCUCGUCUGUUUCUCUUCAUCUCUAAAUCCUUCUCCAUUUUCUUAUUUCCUCUCAAAUUUUCUGAAACUAUGAGAACUCGUAUUGGUAAACGUCCUUUUGUAUCCGAAGAUGAAGAUCACUCCUUCUAAUCUCCUUCGUCCAAGCCAACUGCAGGAGCAAAGAGGAAAUUUAAAGGAAUCAAGAAGGAUGCGUCUGUAUGAUCGUCCUCUGACCACUCGAUGUCCUCCAAUGAGUCAAACACUAGUUCUUCUUUCUUGCAAUUGUCUGAACCAUCUCGACCAAGGAAAUCAAAGCAACAAAAGGUUUCAGAAAACCCUCCUCCACAUUAGUCGGAUUCUCCACCUCCUAUGGUAAAUUCUUUCAUCCCUGUUCUAGGAGAAAUUGAUUUUUUUUUCGUGGUCAUCAUUUUGAGGCUCAAUUUUAAACUUCUAUAGUUCAUAAAUAAUUUGUAUAUGAAAAAUCUGUCGACACAUUUUACUAUCAAGAGUCUCAUUUGAAACAUCUUUUUGAAUCAUGUGGCAUAUCCUCUAUGGUUUCCCCUCCGUCCAAAGCAUAUCCUAGACUAGUCCAACAAUUUUAUACAAAUCUGGAAAACAAUGGUGAUUCUUACACCUCGUUUGUUAAGGGAAAAACUUUGUUCUUCACUGUUGUGGAUUUUGGUAGUAUUUUAAGUAUUCCAUCUUCUGGUGUUUGUCUUUUACACUUAAAGGGUGCUGUAAAUACUCCUUUUUUCUGCUCUUGAACAACUUCAAAUUGUGAUGGAUAACAAUAAUUUUCUUGAUCUGGUUACACCAAAAACUGUCGAUGUUUCCCCCACUGCACGUGUCUUUAACAAAUUGGUAUGAUAUAAUUUGGUGCCCCGAAUAGGUGGAACCGUGGAGGCACAGAUUUUACGUAUCAUGAUUUGGUACUUGUAGCUAUGAUUCUUAAAGGAUUAUUGUUUAACUUUUCUCUUAUGAUGUUACAACACAUGCUCAGUUGUCUGCGUCAAGCUAAAAAAUGUCUACCCUAUAGUGGCUUUUUAACAAAAUUGUUUCAACACUUUAACAUUUCUUUUGAAAAUGAAAUCUCAGUGCCUGUUAAUGAGUCUAUUGAUUCUGGAAAUUUGAAAUUAUCUCAUCUGACUCUUGUUGAUGGUAAGUUUGUCCGUAUUGUUCAUGAUCCUCCUCCUCCUCCUAUUUAACCUGUCAACAAUCUGUCUUCCUCCACUCUGCCAAACACCACUCCUUCUCCUGAAAUUAUUGGGUUACUGAAUACCAUCUUAAAAAAUCAACAGUCUUUGGAAACUGAUUUAUCUGAUAUAAAGAUUUGGCUUACUUUUUUGGUAAAGGGGAAAUUUCCUUUGGGUGCUGAUGAGGUAAAUAAGUUGUAUAACAGUGUUGAGGAUGAAUUUAUAGAUCUCCAAGUAGGUUUUGAGUUGCACACUACAAUAAUGGUUGUGGGUAUGCAACGUAAAAUGAUUAAAAAUUCGUGUCAAUUAAGCCAAAAGAUCAAAUUUGUUAGCAAUUAAGUUGGAGAACUAGCAAAAUUUUCUUCUAGCAGAAUGAAUGAUGUGUGUUGGGUCAAUUCUAAUUACGCACAACACGCAAGUAUACGUGGUCAACAAGUAAUAAAGUGAAAGUAGAGUAUCAUUCUCACGAGGAAUUGUUUAAUAAAAAUCACCAAGUACUAACCCGUAACCAACUCAAUCUUAUUUAAACGAAUGAAUUUCAAAUUAUAUAAUUAAACUACUAUUAAAUUUCACUAGUUAAAUUAAGAUUACGGAGAUUUAAGAUCACAAUUUCACUUAUUGCUUCAUUUAAGUUAACACACUUCUCAUCAAUUAUUCUCUAUCAUGAAUUGUUAAUCAAGAACACUAAAGCAGAUAAAACCACCUCUCGAUGUAUAAUACCCAUACUCACUUAAAUUCACAGAUGAUAUAAUUAAGCGAGACACCUUAAUUAACUAAUCUACUAUAUCUCUUUGUGAAUUACAAUUAAAAAGGAUUGAAAGCACAAGUUCUCUAUAAGAUUACAUGCGAUGUUAGGUAUAUCUCUAUCAUAAAUUAUGUAUUCCAACGACAUGAAGAAAUCACAAUCACAUGCUAUUAUGAUUAGAUCUAAAUCAAUACUUCAUCUCUCGAGUUCAUAUAGAUUAUCAUGGUAAUUGAUGGCCAGUCAAUUAAACAAUUAAGUCCAAAUUAAAAUAGACAAUCCUUACAAUAAAAUAUAAAUACACUACAAGAAAUCACACAUUUUAUGAUGAAUUUUUUGCCACGCACAAAAUUUUGUCAUAAUUUGUUAAUUAAUAAUUACGAAAUUCAUAAUCGUCACUAAAACUUUUGCUUUUGUGACCUUUAAUUUUGUUAUUAUUAAUCAUUUAUAUCAUCACUCAUUUACACAUUUGAUGACGAUUAACAAAAUUUCGUCACAAGUUAUUUUGGAGGUAGAAUUUUCGUACCAAACUUUUGGAGGGAAACUUUUUAGUGACAUUUUGUAAUAAUUGAUGACAGUAUUUAUUGUCACAAUAUUUCUUUUGAUGACAACAUAAUAAUUUGUCAUUAUUUGUAAAAUUUAGUGACAGUGUGCUUUUGUCACUAAUGUUCACAUUUAGUGACGUCAAAUACAAAUUCAUCACAAUUUUAUUUGGAGGUAAAAAAAAAUUAAAAAUUUUGGAGGGAAAUUUUUUAAAGACGGAAAAAUAAUAAUUUAUGACAAUUUGAAUUGUUAUAAAUACUAAUUUUAUAUGACGAGAUAAUAGUUUGUCACUAAUUAGAUGAGUGGAUAAGUGAUAAAAAUAGUUUGUCAUAAAUUCUAAUAUUUAGUGACAAAGUACGUAAUAUCGUCACAAUUUUGUUUGGACGUAAAAUUUUUCUGAAAAUUUUUGGAGGGAAAUUUUUUAAAGACGAAUAAUAAUACUUUAUGACGACAAUUUGUAUUGUCAUAAAUACCAAUUUUAUAUGACGAGACAAUUUGGACAAGUGAAUGUUUUUUGAAUUUAUUUAGAGAAAAAUUCCUUUGCGGAGUAUUUAUUCUACGAGGGAGUAUUUGAAACCAAUCUCAUCGUCCUUCAAUGGGGAUUAUGCAGUUACUGAGGCAAUAUAUAUCAGUCUCUGCACGUUUUGUGAUCUAAGGCAAAUAUCUGUAAAAAUAUUUCUUACCCCGACAAUGGUUGCUUCAAUUGUCAUCCACUAGUAUUACUAGCAGAAUGUUUAAAAAAGUGGGUUGGCCUUCGUUGAUUUUGGAGACUUGGGGGUAUAAUCGUCUGAUUUGUUUGUUUAGCUUGUUCACUAGUAUUCUUAAUUAUUUAGCAAUAUUAAUUGUAUUAAUUAAAAUAUUAAGUUACAAUAAUUUAAAUUUUAAAAUAUUGUAAAUUGACAAUAAAGAAAUUUUUAAUAAUUAUGACUCUUUUUGUGGAUUAAAUUACAUAUGUUAAAAUAUUAUUUUUUUAUUUUAAAAAAGAAUUAUAAUUUAGUUUGAUAUAAUUAAUUUAUGAUAUCCUUUAAUAAAUUUAGAUUUACAUUUAAAUUUUUGAAAUAAUAAUUUUACAUAUAAUAUUACUUCUAAAAGAGUUUAUUUUUAAGUGUUUUCAAACUCCUUUAUUGGAACAGAUCUACUACUCCAUUGUUUGUGUGCGUGGUCUGGAUACAGAGAUUUGGCCUUCACCUCUCUACAGCCACAUGGUUGAUUUCAUAUUGUGGGAGUGUUUUCAGUAAAACAUUAUCAAGCAAUUUUUUUUUCUACUAAUAGGUUGGCUUUGUGAUACCCCCAAAUUCGAAUCCGAGCACCUUUAAAUUCCGGAUCUGGUGUUUCACGGUACUAACUCUAACAUACAUCUAAUCAUGCAUUCAUACUAAUAAGAAAGUAAUUACUAACUAUUAGAAGUCUAUUAUUACAUAUCUAGGUUUUAUAACCUUUAAAUCUUCUAAAUCAUGAUAAUUAAAGUAGAAGUUGCUCAUGCUAGAUAACAUGCUUUCAAGUUUUCUCUAUAACAUGCAGUCAAUCAAUGUUUUUUUUUUGAACUUUUUAUAUGGACAUGACUUUGAUGAAUUUGGUUUUAUUGGUUUAUUUAUUUUAUUUUAUUGUUCGAAGUUGACUGUUUGGUGAAUAUGAACAUAAGAUCAUUAGUUGUUUGAUUGUAUUUGACUAAUAAUAUCAUUGUUCCAUAUUUAUGGGCCUAAAAAGAUAGCAUAAGUUUUUUAGUAAUGUUAUAGCUAUAGUUAUGGAAAAUUCACAAUUUAUUAUUUAAACAUUUCUUUCCUUAUAUACAUUUCUUUUUUAAUUUCAUAACUAUUUGACUGAUUUAUGUCUAUAUGUUUUUUUUUGAUUUGCAGAUCGAGUUUUUUCUGGAAGGUCAAUAACCACAAGGUUGAAGGUUUUAAUUAAGCAUUUUCUUAGGAUAUGGAUUUUAGAAUUUUAGCUUUUUGGAUUAUAUAAUUUGGUUUUGUGGUACUUAGAUUAUUUAAGCAACUGUUUAUUGCCUAGCUAGUUGGGUAUUUUGUUGAAUCAGUG